AUCCAGCUGACGAGUCCCAGAUAGGAUGAAACAUUUGUCCUAGAU
rnacentral:hammerhead_ribozyme from 1 species